rnacentral:rRNA from 1 species
AGCGAACGCUGGCGGCAGGCCUAACACAUGCAAGUCGAACGAAGUCUUCGGACUUAGUGGCGGACGGGUGAGUAACACGUGGGAACGUGCCUUUAGGUUCGGAAUAACUCAGGGAAACUUGUGCUAAUACCGAAUGUGCCCUUCCGGGGAAAGAUUUAUCGCCUUUAGAGCGGCCCGCGUCUGAUUAGCUUGUUGGUGGGGUAAUGGCCCACCAAGGCGACGAUCAGUAGCUGGUCUGAGAGGAUGACCAGCCACAUUGGGACUGAGACACGGCCCAAACUCCUACGGGAGGCAGCAGUGGGGAAUCUUGCGCAAUGGGCGAAAGCCUGACGCAGCCAUGCCGCGUGGAUGAUGAAGGUCUUAGGAUUGUAAAAUCCUUUCACCGGUGAAGAUAAUGACUGUAGCCGGAGAAGAAGCCCCGGCUAACUUCGUGCCAGCCGCCGCGGUAAUAC